AAACCAACAGGGAUUGCCUUAGUAACUGCGAGUGAAGCGGCAAGAGCUCAAAUUUGAAAUCUGGCACCUUCGGUGUCCGAGUUGUAAUUUGUAGAAGCAUCUUUUGGAUUGGUCCUUGCAUAUGUUCCUUGGAACAGGACAUCAUAGAGGGUGAGAAUCCCGUUCAUGGUGGGGAAUCCAAUUCUUUGUAAAGUGCUUUCGAAGAGUCGAGUUGUUUGGGAAUGCAGCUCUAAGUGGGUGGUAAAUUCCAUCUAAAGCUAAAUAUUGGCGAGAGACCGAUAGCGAACAAGUACAGUGAUGGAAAGAUGAAAAGAACUCCGAAAGGAGAGUGAAAAAGGACGUGAAAUUGUUGAAAGGGAAGUGCUUGAGAUCAGUCUUAAGGUUUAGUGAUCAGUCUUCCUUUUGGUUGGUGCACUCACUAUUUCUUAGGCCAACAUCAGUUUUCGCGGCAGGAUAAUGACAUUGGAAUGUGGCUCUUUCGGGAGU
rnacentral:rRNA from 1 species